rnacentral:lncRNA from 1 species
AGAAUCAUGCAUUCAUGGUAAACAAUGGAUUUGGUAAAGAUGGUCCAUAUUUCACUUAAUAAGGACCUCAGUAAUUUCUUCCUCUACAUUCUUAUGUCGAUGACUUAUUGCAGGUGGCUGUUUGCGAAGCUCCUACCAGAGUGAUAGCUAUUCACAGUCAAACGCAGACCAUUCCAAGCUGUCCAACCAAUUGGGAAGAGCUAUGGAUCGGGUAUAGUUUCAUUAUGCACACCGAUGCAAAUGCGGAGGGUGGUGGUCAGUCACUCGUUAGUCUGGAUCUUGCUUGGAGGAAUUCCGAGCAACGCCAUUCAUCGAAUGUCAUGGACACGGGAACUGCAAUUCCUUUACGUCAGCAUUCUCCUACUGGUUGUCAACAAUAGAUGACCGCGAAAUGUUCAGAAAACCGUCACAGCAAACGCUAAAGGCUGGAGCUCUUAAAACAAGAAUUAUCGAUGCGCUGUGUGUAUCAGAAGAACACGUCAUCGCCAAAGAAAGUUGAAGCGUUUACAUCCUCUUCUGCCAAUAAUAGACGUUUCGGUUGAGUAACUUAUUUCAUGUUUUCUGAUAUAUGAUGUAAAUAAUGUUGAUGCAUCGUUUAUUUAAUUUCUAUUAAAAACGACCAUGUUGGUGGAUGGAACAUAGCACCAUGUUGAAGUUAACAUGGUCUAAGCAUGUAACGAAUGCGAUACCAUGUUGAGAUCUGUAUGCCACCACGAUGAUAGGACCAACAGGGUAACGUCUAACAUAGGUUCCUACUGAGUGCAUGGUGGUUUCUUAGAUCAGGUCGAUUUCAUGUUGCUAAUAUUUUAACAACAUUUUACGCCGACACGGCCCGGAACGGGUUGUGUUUGUGAUACUUAAUAUGAUCUCAAACAUUACCCAGAUGUUCGUUUUUAGAGACCUAACUUAAGUAAUUCUGUGAAUGUAAGUAUAUUUUCAGUGCUGAGUUCAAAGAUACGUAUGCCUAUGUCAAUAUACUGAGCAGUUGAUGACUUCAUGGAAAUAAUAUUGCCAGCAUUUCCACAAUUUUUGCAUAAGUAUAUGCUUCAACAUGGCUUCACCCUACUAGCAACGGCUGUUAAAUUUGUAUUCAAAAACUUAAAAAACCGUUAAAAUUUACGAGAGGCAAACUUAGAGAAAAACAGUGUAAAAAACUCUUUAAAAACGCGAUCUUUUAAAACAAUUAUUUAAAUUAAUAAUGUAAAAAGAAGAGUAAAAAAUCAGUGUAUUAUUUUUAAGAGUUUUACUGAAAGAGUUUUCUGAGUGUUUUUUCCCCUUUUUUUAACAAUUAUUGUAUUUAAAUUUGAUCGCUCGUAAAUUUUACGUAAAAUAAUUCCAAAAACGUGAUCCCUAGUCCCACGUCAAUGUCCACGUGUCCCAAGUUAGUGAACACGUAAUGUUACUUAAGCUCACCAGACAAUGGACUUAUUGGCAAAAAGGGUGCUCUCUAAAAAUGUUCGAAACUUUUUUCGUGCCCAUCGUACAUGUGUAAAUAUUCUUGUGUAUAUAACUGUUCUCCAACCGAGCCUUGGGGUUUUAAAAAAAAUCAAAAAACCAGCAACAGUCUAGGCACCCACUGGAGGAAAAAAUCAGCCGCUGAAAACGCAACCGUGUUGAAAAGAUCAUGUUUUACAUGUUGAGAUCAUGUUGUUACCAACAUGGUCAGCGUUGGUACAACAUAGUCCGAACGUGGUAUUAUGUCGGUGAGUGAAAUAUUGCACCUUGUUGACGCUAACGUGGUACAACAUCACAUCAACUUGAUACCAGCAUGGUACCAAGUAGGUCCAACUUUGUCCCAUACAAUACCGGUAACUGUUGGACCCUUUGACUAAAUUGAUACCCAUGUGGGACGUAUUCAUAACAAAAUUAAUGCACCACGGGGACCGCGUAAGAAUAUUUCAAAUUAACAGGGCAAGUAUUUUACUCACAUGCUACACGUUAAUUAUUGUACCAUAAUGCUAUCAUGAUGCGUCAACAUCAUCAAUAUUA